CAUCUGAAAUAGUUGCGAUUGCCCCCGUGCCGCUCC
rnacentral:sRNA from 1 species